CUGGUGUCUGCGGCUCUGAGGAACCCGGACUGUAAAAUACACACACUGCGGCUGCAACGUGUUGGUCUCACAGAUUCUGGAGCCGAGGAUCUCGUCUCCACUCUCAGUACAAAGCCCUCACUGACGGAUCUGUACCUGACACACAACUCCCUCACAGACCAAUGUGUCCCCGCUCUCCGCGACCUCAUACUGAACCUCCCGAGUCUGGGGCUGAUCAGGCUGAGGGUGAAUAAGUUCAGUGUGACCGGAAAGAAGGAACUGAGGUCGCUGCAGGAACCCAGACCCGGACUGAGAGUGGACGUGUGAACAUCUCGUGGUGUAAACGUCACCGCCCUGGGGACCGGAAUAUUGUUGGCCGAUUCCUCGCCCUCCCCUUUAAACGGCCGCCCUCCCCUUUAAACCCCAACGCUUCCCGGGCCGGCCGACCGGUGACAUCAGAGGCGACCCUGCCCGCUGUCACGUGACCCGGGUACGCGGCACUGCUGCUGAUGAUGCCGGAUAUCCGGUGCUGCCCUCCAGUGGGGGACGGGGGAAUUGCAGCUGGGGGGGGGCGGGGACCUGCAGGAUCCCGGAUGUGACUUUAUCAUCAGCGGCCCCCGCUCUUGCUGCGGGUUGAUGGUGACAACUGUAUCUAUUUGGCAGAGAAGAUUAAAAAUUACUCUGGUGGAUU